rnacentral:rRNA from 1 species
AUGGGAUUAGCAGGAGGACCAUCCACCUUCAAUGGUGCAAUGAUUGAGACUUUACAUCCGGCGCUCCGCAAAUUUGUGCUCCUCUUCUUUGAUGAUAUUUUAAUCUUCAGUCGCACUCUGGAGGAUCAUAAGUCUCACCUGGCGCAAGUUCUUCAGCUGCUGCGGCGCGACCAAUGGAAGCUUAAAGCCUCCAAGUGUUGUUUUGGCCAGCAGCGACUAUCGUAUCUUGGGCAUAUUAUCAGUUCGUUAGGAGUCGCCACGGACCCCAGCAAGGUUGCAGCAGUGUCUCAAUGGCCCACACCAUCAGAUACUAAGGAAGUACGCCGGUUCCUUGGGCUUGCUGGUUAUUAUCGCUGCUUCAUGCGCCUUUUUGGAAUCAUAGCACGACCUUUGUUUAACCUGCUCAAGAAGGGAGUCCCAUUUGUAUGGACCCAGGCAACAGAGGAAUCUUUCCAGCUCCUUAAACAAGGGCUAGUCACAGCACCGGUGCUUGUUUUCUCAGCCAUUCAUUGUCGAGACAGAUGCUUGUGA